AAGUAGAUAGUCAGUUUUGAUGGGGUUGUAGACCCAAUUCUCUUGCCUUUCUGAAUGUCAUAUUCUAAACCUUGUGGCCUUUUAGUGUAGAGGCUGCCAGAUCCUAUGUAAUCCUAAUUGGUGUUCCUUGAUAUCUGAAUUGUCUCUUUCUGGCUUCUUGUAAUAUUUUCUCCUUGGCUUGGAAGCUCUUAAAUUUGGCCAUUACAUUCCUGGGAGUUGUCUUUUAAGGAUUUACUGUAGAGGGUGAUCUAUGGACUCUUUUGAUGUCUAUUUUGCCCUCUUGUUGAAGAAUAUCAGGGCAGUUUUCUUGGAUAAUUUCUUGUAGUAUGAUGUCAAUGUUUCUGUUCAUUUCCAGGUUUUCAGGUAUGCCUAUGAUUCCCAAAUAGUUACCUUCUAGACCUGUUUUCCAAGUCAAACAGUUUUCUUGGUCAGAAGUCUGAGUGAGGAAGGUGGUUGAUCUGUGUAUUGAACUCCAGAGAGUCUGUGUGCAGUCCCAAGCUGUCUCUGCACCCAAGCUCUGCAUUCCUCAGCCUCCUUGGGGUCCUAUGUCUUGAAGCUCUUUGAGGAAUCCAGGUGGAGAAAACAUUGGAAAAAUCCAGGAAUAGAGGUACUUCUAUCCAGAGACAAGGAGAGAGAGCUCCUUCCAGUCUGAGGACCAGGAAAGGGAGGUCUUGAGAGCAACUGUCACUCUCCAAGUCCCCCUUUCCCCACCAACUGUCAUCGCUGUCCAUCAAUCUUCACUCUAACAGUCCAAAUGCUGUGUGCUCCACCUCAGUGGCAGAAAAUUCAAAGCUUGAUUCAGUGAAGUAGCCCCAGAAAACCAAAGAUGGAAAAAUUACCCCUGUCCGCAUUUUUAGGGGACAGACCUGGUUUUGGAAAGACCUGGUUGGAAAGAACCACAUUCUCAUCAUGAG
rnacentral:lncRNA from 1 species